GGUUGCGAUCAUAACAGCACUAAUGCACCGGAUCCCAUCAGAACUCCGCAGUUAAGCGUGCUUGGGCGAGAGUAGUACUAGGAUGGGUGACCCCCUGGGAAGUCCUCGUGUUGCAACCC
rnacentral:rRNA from 1 species